rnacentral:rRNA from 1 species
AUGGCGUUUACCAGGAGGAACACAGGCGCCGUAUGCUUGGCCGCCCUCAUGGUGGUGAUGGCCACCAUGAUGCUGUCCUGUGAUGCAGGUUAUAAUUACAUACAUAUUCCCGGGCCAUGCGUGCAGUCGUUAUGCAAGGAUGAAUGUGCUAGACAAAAUUACCCCAAUAGACCCCACUGCCAGCCCGUGACCGAUGAAUGCUGUUGUGACACUUCCGCAAGGCCCGAGGUCGACCACGCCAUCCGUCAAGCUUGA